AACGCUGGCGGAGGCUUAAACAUGCAAGUCGAGCGGGCGUAGCAAUACGUCAGCGGCAGACGGGUGAGUAACGCGUGGGAACGUACCUUUUGGUUCGGAACAACCCAGGGAAACUUGGGCUAAUACCGGAUAAGCCCUCACGGGGAAAGAUUUAUCGCCGAAAGAUCGGCCCGCGUCUGAUUAGCUAGUUGGUGAGGUAAUGGCCCACCAAGGCGACGAUCAGUAGCUGGUCUGAGAGGAUGAUCAGCCACAUUGGGACUGAGACACGGCCCAAACUCCUACGGGAGGCAGCAGUGGGGAAUAUUGGACAAUGGGCGCAAGCCUGAUCCAGCCAUGCCGCGUGAGUGAUGAAGGCCCUAGGGUUGUAAAGCUCUUUUGUGCGGGAAGAUAAUGACGGUACCGCAAGAAUAAGCCCCGGCUAACUUCGUGCCAGCAGCCGCGGUAAUACGAAGGGGGCUAGCGUUGCUCGGAAUCACUGGGCGUAAAGGGUGCGUANGCGGGUCUUUAAGUCAGGGGUGAAAUCCUGGAGCUCAACUCCAGAACUGCCUUUGAUACUGAAGAUCUUGA
rnacentral:rRNA from 1 species